rnacentral:rRNA from 1 species
UACGUAGGGCGCGAGCGUUAAUCGGAAUUACUGGGCGUAAAGCGUGCGCAGGCGGUAAUGUAAGACAGGUGUGAAAUCCCAGGGCUUAACCUUGGAACUGCAUUUGUGACUGCAUUGCUGGAGUGCGGCAGAGGGGGAUGGAAUUCCGCGUGUAGCAGUGAAAUGCGUAGAUAUGCGGAGGAACACCGAUGGCGAAGGCAAUCCCCUGGGCCUGCACUGACGCUCAUGCACGAAAGCGUGGGGAGCAAACAGG